rnacentral:rRNA from 2 species
GGAUCCAGACUUUGAUCCUGGCUCAGGAUGAACGCUGGCGGCGUGCUUAACACAUGCAAGUCGAACGAAGCGCUUAAGUUUGAUUCUUCGGACGAAGACUUUUGUGACUGAGUGGCGGACGGGUGAGUAACGCGUGGGUAACCUGCCUCAUACAGGGGGAUAACAGUUAGAAAUGGCUGCUAAUACCGCAUAAGACCACAGCACCGCAUGGUGCAGGGGUAAAAACUCCGGUGGUAUGAGAUGGACCCGCGUCUGAUUAGCUGGUUGGUGGGGUAACGGCCUACCAAGGCGACGAUCAGUAGCCGACCUGAGAGGGUGACCGGCCACAUUGGGACUGAGACACGGCCCAAACUCCUACGGGAGGCAGCAGUGGGGAAUAUUGCACAAUGGGGGAAACCCUGAUGCAGCGACGCCGCGUGAAGGAUGAAGUAUUUCGGUAUGUAAACUUCUAUCAGCAGGGAAGAAAAUGACGGUACCUGACUAAGAAGCCCCGGCUAACUACGUGCCAGCAGCCGCGGUAAUACGUAGGGGGCAAGCGUUAUCCGGAUUUACUGGGUGUAAAGGGAGCGUAGACGGUAUGGCAAGUCUGAUGUGAAAGGCCAGGGCUCAACCCUGGGACUGCAUUGGAAACUGUCGAACUAGAGUGUCGGAGAGGCAAGUGGAAUUCCUAGUGUAGCGGUGAAAUGCGUAGAUAUUAGGAGGAACACCAGUGGCGAAGGCGGCUUGCUGGACGAUGACUGACGUUGAGGCUCGAAAGCGU